GAAUGCUGACAUAAGUAACGAUAAAGCGGGUGAAAAGCCCGCUCGCCGGAAGACCAAGGGUUCCUGUCCAACGUUAAUCGGGGCAGGGUGAGUCGACCCCUAAGGCGAGGCCGAAAGGCGUAGUCGAUGGGAAACAGGUUAAUAUUCCUGUACUUGGUGUUACUGCGAAGGGGGGACGGAGAAGGCUAUGUUGGCCGGGCGACGGUUGUCCCGGUUUAAGCGUGUAGGCUGGUUUUCCAGGCAAAUCCGGAAAACCAAGGCUGAGGCGUGAUGACGAGGCACUACGGUGCUGAAGCGACAAAUGCCCUGCUUCCAGGAAAAGCCUCUAAGCAUCAGGUAACAUCAAAUCGUACCCCAAACCGACACAGGUGGUCAGGUAGAGAAUACCAAGGCGCUUGAGAGAACUCGGGUGAAGGAACUAGGCAAAAUGGUGCCGUAACUUCGGGAGAAGGCACGCUGAUAUGUAGGUGAAGCGACUUGCUCGUGGAGCUGAAAUCAGUCGAAGAUACCAGCUGGCUGCAACUGUUUAUUAAAAACACAGCACUGUGCAAACACGAAAGUGGACGUAUACGGUGUGACGCCUGCCCGGUGCCGGAAGGUUAAUUGAUGGGGUUAGCGGUAACGCGAAGCUCUUGAUCGAAGCCCCGGUAAACGGCGGCCGUAACUAUAACGGUCCUAAGGUAGCGAAAUUCCUUGUCGGGUAAGUUCCGACCUGCACGAAUGGCGUAAUGAUGGCCAGGCUGUCUCCACCCGAGACUCAGUGAAAUUGAACUCGCUGUGAAGAUGCAGUGUACCCGCGGCAAGACGGAAAGACCCCGUGAACCUUUACUAUAGCUUGACACUGAACAUUGAGCCUUGAUGUGUAGGAUAGGUGGGAGGCUUUGAAGUGUGGACGCCAGUCUGCAUGGAGCCGACCUUGAAAUACCACCCUUUAAUGUUUGAUGUUCUAACGUUGGCCCCUAAUCGGGGUUGCGGACAGUGUCUGGUGGGUAGUUUGACUGGGGCGGUCUCCUCCUAAAGAGUAACGGAGGAGCACGAAGGUUGGCUAAUCCUGGUCGGACAUCAGGAGGUUAGUGCAAUGGCAUAAGCCAGCUUGACUGCGAGCGUGACGGCGCGAGCAGGUGCGAAAGCAGGUCAUAGUGAUCCGGUGGUUCUGAAUGGAAGGGCCAUCGCUCAACGGAUAAAAGGUACUCCGGGGAUAACAGGCUGAUACCGCCCAAGAGUUCAUAUCGACGGCGGUGUUUGGCACCUCGAUGUCGGCUCAUCACAUCCUGGGGCUGAAGUAGGUCCCAAGGGUAUGGCUGUUCGCCAUUUAAAGUGGUACGCGAGCUGGGUUUAGAACGUCGUGAGACAGUUCGGUCCCUAUCUGCCGUGGGCGCUGGAGAACUGAGGGGGGCUGCUCCUAGUACGAGAGGACCGGAGUGGACGCAUCACUGGUGUUCGGGUUGUCAUGCCAAUGGCACUGCCCGGUAGCUAAAUGCGGAAGAGAUAAGUGCUGAAAGCAUCUAAGCACGAAACUUGCCCCGAGAUGAGUUCUCCCUGACUCCUUGAGGGUCCUGAAGGAACGUUGAAGACGACGACGUUGAUAGGCCGGGUGUGUAAGCGCAGCGAUGCGUUGAGCUAACCGGUACUAAUGAACCGUGAGGCUUAACCUU
rnacentral:rRNA from 1 species